UCAGUUCCGCAGAGAUCAGAAGGACUAAAAACUGGGGAGGACCCAUUCAGAGAAGAAGAUUGAAUGGAUGUUUGAAGGACUUCACCCUACACAAGGAGAGAAGAAAAGAAGGAACUGGAGAUGUAUUGAGUGCCUCCUGUAUGCCAGAGUGGUCUGCCCACUGUACUUACACUAUCUUAAGCCUACCAUUGCAGCGGAGCCACCCGGAGAAGAGCAGUCCACUUAAGAUCCGGCCCAGCAUGAGCAGAGUACGCACAGAGAAGACUUGACCCAGCCACACCCAGCCUAGUCCACCCAGCCUUAGUUACCCUGCAGACCCGUGAGUCUUCUGGGCUCCGAGAAUCGAUUUGAAGACACAGAUGCUCCUGGGAGGCUGCUGAUUUCCACUUGACCAUCAGUCCAUCGACCUGUCCAUCCACCACCCACUGAAGGGAAACAGAAAUGAAUACGUCGAGGAACCCACCUGCCCUCAGGAAACCCGGCAGCUAGGAGGGAAGAACAGGAGGACUUCCUGGGCAGCCUCUUUUUGGGACAGCUUGGCCUUUUACAAAACUCUUCCUUCUAUUGACCCACAAUCAUCCUUUUGUCUCUCCCACCAUGGAGUCGGCAUCAUCUCCUGAGUCCAUACAGAUUAUCCCAAUAAACUGACAGCUGCCUGCAGACAGUAAUCACACUCCUCACUCCCCUGUCCUCUGUCAGCCUCUAGCCAGAGCAGCCUUAGGUCCUGCUGUCUCCACUUGACAGGGUUUGCAUCCCUUGCCCACCAAGAGCUCCGGGCCUGGCUGGAUCAAGUCUUCCUCCUGACCUCUUUCUGCUCCCUUGGCUGGCACAUCCUGGAGCUAGAACAACACUGAGCUCACAGCAGAAAAGGAUGGAAAUGCUCUUUCAGCAAGAUGACAGCAGGAAAGAUUCCCCUGACUUUUGAUGGAGCCAGGCCACAUGGAUGAAAUCUUCUACCCCUCCCUUU